rnacentral:lncRNA from 1 species
GCUUAGUGGAUGCCGAAACCCGGUAUCCCCACCUUGAGAGGCCAGCGUUAGCACUCGUAGUAGCUUCACGAAAGCUACGACCAUUUUUCAAUGCCACCUAAGGGUAGUAACGACCUUCCCCCUAAGAAGCGUCCAACACGAACUCGAACUCUCAUGGCGACUCGCCGGAUGAGCCGUUGAGCUCAGCGAGCUUGACAUUACAUACCUCCCUAGACCGCCAUCAAGUCGCAAGUCCUAGCUGACUUUAUCGCCGACUUCAGCGCGGAAGUCCUAGCCAAAGGCAGAACUCGAAGCACAACGCGCAUCCUCCGAAAACUACCUGUGGGCCCUUUACACGGACGGCACCGCCAAUGCAUCGGGAUCGGGACUGGGACUCGUACUCGAAGUCCCCACGGGUGAAACAAUUUGUCGGUCCAUACGAUGCCCGGAAAUAACUAACAACGAGGCCGAGUAUGAGGCCGUUAUUGCAGGAAUGAAACUGGCCAUCAAGUACGGAGCUCGCCGAAUUCUCCUCCACUGCGACUCCCAGCUUGUAGUGAACAAGUCAUUGGGACUUAUCAAAUCAAAGAACAGAGAUUACAAAAGUAGCAGUCAGAAAUCCACAGACGGAUGGCCACAUUCAACGAAUGCCGCUUCAAAAAAAUUCACAGAGCACGGAAUAUCGAAGCGGACGGUCUGGCAAAGCUGGCUACCGCCACCAAAAAUAUCAACAAAGAAAGUGUGGUCACACUCCUCCGCUCGGCUAUCGACCACACCGAGGUACUUUCCCUAAAACUAACUUGGGACUGGCGCAACCAGUUCAUAUCUUAUUUGCAGGAUGGGGUAUUACCCCCCGAUAAAAAAGAAGCGAAGAAGCUUCGCAUACAGGCCAUCCAGUACUGCAUGGUCAGUGGAAACCUUUAUAAAAAGACUUUCGACGGCGCCUGACUUGGGACUGGCGCAACCAGUUCAUAUCUUAUUUGCAGGACGAGGUAUUACCCCCCGAUAAAAAAGAAGCGAAGAAGCUUCUCAUACAGGCCGCCCGGUACUGCAUGGUCAAUGGCGAUCUUUAUAAAAGGACGUUCGGUGGCCCAUUAGCCAAGUGCUUAGGGCCGCAGCAAACAAGAUCGGUGCUCGAAGAAGUACACGAAGGCCAUUGCGUCGCCCACACUGGC